AUUGAACGCUGGCGGCAUGCCUAACACAUGCAAGUCGAACGAGUGGCGGACGGGUGAGUAAUGUCUGGGAACUUGCCUGAUGGAGGGGGCUAACUACUGGAACCGGUAGCUACUACCGCAUACCUUCACCUGUUCCCAGAGGGGAUUAGCUAGUUGGUGGGGUAACGGCUCACCACGGCCACGAUCCCUAGCUGGUCUGAGAGGAUGACCAGCCACACUGGAACUGAGACACGGCCCAGACGCCGACGGGAGGCAGCAGUGGGGAAUAUUGCACAAUGGGCGCAAGCCUGAGGCAGCAAGGCCGCGUGUGUGAAGAAGGUCUUCGGGUUGUAAAGCACUGUCAGCGGGGAGGCGGUACCUGCAGAAGAAGCACCGGCUAACUCCGUGCCAGCAGCCGCGGUAAUUC
rnacentral:rRNA from 1 species